ACCUUCUCGUUCGUUCCCGUGGCUUCUGGAGUCUUCUAGAUGACAGAAAAUUGCAUGGCACGUUAAUAUCUAUAUGUAAACCUGACGUGUGGACCUUUCUUCCAUAUUUCCUGAUAACCCCCUGUAGAAAUAGACAAACAGCAAAACUCGUGGAAUUCUGUCAGAUAAAACCCUAAGUCUGGGUGUUGGUUGCAUUUGGAUCCUUUUCUUUAUUUAUUUGAUGAUUAUAUUUGGUACUUAAGGACCGUCAACAACUCCCCCAAGCUUACCUCUUGCUCGACCCAGAGCAAGGAUGUACUCAAGAGUUUCUACAGUGGUUUCAUGCCUUAAAAGUAAGAUCUCAUCUCUGAGUUAGAGUAAAUUGUUAAAACUUAAAACUUACUCAUUUUACCUUUCACCAUGGGGCUUGCAACCGUCACUUGUGUCUUGAGCAGUUAAAAGAUAGAACGGUCAAGUCAAAUGCCAUGUCUCGUAUUCUUGAUCAGCUAUAGCUCUAGAGUUUUUGUAGAUUUUUAAAUAAAACUCAGAGAUUCCUUGUAUGACUCUCUGAAAUCUCUCUUUUGUGGUAUUUCUGGAUCCUUUCCAAGGCAGUAAUGGUAUAUGUCUUCUCUCCAAGUAUGUGGUAUUUUUGGUAUGAGGCAUAGUGAUAUUGCCUUCUCUCUCACCCCAUUAUAAUAAGGUUUUGAUAUCCGGAGCUCAUAGGUGGGAGACAGAUAAUACAUACUUGCAAGACAUUUAUUGCAUAGUCAAACCAUGGAUCUAGAGAAACAAGUCAAUAAGUUAAAUCAAGAUGUGCAUGUGUGGCGAGUGAAUGGUGUAUGGUGAUGAUGGUGAUAACAAUGGUGAAAGUCUAAUUCUACUUUUGCUCUUUUGAGGGUAUACAUACCGUUCUUGCACUUUGAAGCUUUUUGAGGAGAAUGAGAUGCUCUAUAUAUUAUUUUUUUCUUUUCUCUCAGGUGGGUAUCUUGUACCCCUAAUUCUAUUGUCGGACACUUGUCCAUUUUUACCUCUCGUCUCACUUUUUCUUUUCUACGAGGUUCUGGGAACUUGCCCCUUUUUAUUUCCUCGUAUUCUUUCUCUCUUUUUUUUUUCUUUUUCUUCUUCUUCUUGUUUUUUAGAGCACUCAUCUCCUGAAAUAAUAUAGCAAGUGGUAGUAACCAAGAUAACUCAAGCACUUAUUUCACAGGGAAACAUAGAAAUAGGAGAAUAUUUUUGGCUAUUCUCUCACGGAUUAGGAGUAGAAUACUAUUGGGUGAAUCUGGAGAUGGAAGUGAGUGGAUGUAUGUGGAUGCGUACUUCCAGAGUAGAAGUAGCUUGUGUGAGUGAACGUGCAAGUGAAUCUUGAUUUUAACCACAUGACAAGCUCCUAAGGGUCUACACAGCUUGACCACACUCAAUGCUCAUAAGCAGUAAAAAGUAAAUGUGUGGCUCAAAGUCUAGCAAGCAUGUAUAUAUGGUUGUGGUAGGAAUUUAAACUCUCAUCAUACAGGAACUCAUCAUGUGUUAUUUUAAAGAUUUUCAAAGAUAAAAUUCUCUAAAAUUCUAGCAUCUCUAGGAACAGAUAAACAGCAGCUCAACCUUCCCAUAUCAUAUCCGUUAACAACUUACACUUUAGAUCAAGUACUCUUCCCACAAGUUUAGGUUUAGAGUAGGUUUAAAUUAUAACAGUUAUGCCUAAACUUGAGAGAGAGCUCAAACUUGAAAACUAGGUGUAUGGCAGAGCAACUAUUUAUCAUAUCCAUGUAAGAGUUUAUCAUUUAAGUUCAGUUUGGACUAGACACUUUAUUUAUUUAUUUACCAAAACUAAGCAAAGAUAUAUAUAAGCACAAAAUUUAUAUUUGGGUUUUCAUGAUUAUGCAUCUUUUUAUUAUUUGAGUAAAGUAUAAAUGCGAGUAGAAACACUUAGCUGGAUAAAUGGGGGUGCUCUCCCCCAAGCUGAAUUUUGACGUAAUUUCUUCUGAUGUAGCUAGCAGGUGGCGGAGGUGUAUUUGAAUGUCGGUAGUACCCUGACAGUGAUUAGGAUGUCCUCCGUCUGCUAGUCUUCUUUGAUCCUUGAAUUCUGUGAAGCUCAAAUAGACAACAAAGCUUUGUAGAACUAGUUAAGUGUUAGCAUAAAUAUCUAGACUUUAUCAUUGUUGCAAGAAGAUAAGGAUAAAUCUAUCAAGGCAUAGAUUAGAGAUAAACUUGCAAGAACAUGAUUACUAAUGAGGAACUCGUCACACAGUCACUUACUUUGGCAGGAGGUAAACCAUAAAGAUAAUGAUAAUGAAAUACAAGCUCAUGGGUAAAUAACACAGCGAUUAGAAAAUAGACUACUCCUCAUAUAUGUAAGGUGACGUUGGAUUAGCUAGAGAAUUGAUUCUAAGUUAUUGUCGGCGUCUAGACUCGUGGUCUAGACAUAAACGAGUAUAAGUAUGUGUGACUACCUAAGCCUGGCUGGUGAUGCAAGUGGAACACAGAGAAUUUAUACUGGGUCGGGCCAAGAAUGUCCUACGUCCAGUGAGAUCGGGGGUCUGUAUUACCUUGCACCCAUAGGUGCUUGUAGUAGGGGGGUACAAGCAGGUUGCGAGAGAGGGCUAAGUCCCAAGUCUCGGCUUUGUGGUGGACAGAAUGCUAGUUGCUACUCUGUGAGUGAGCUAGCUGUGAAGUGUGAUGACCGUACGUUGUGUGUAUGGAUGAACCAGUAGUUGAACCUGUCUUGGUCGUGAGCCCUGGCUCCCCUUUUAUAGCCUCAAGGGGAGGCAGGUAUUUACAUGAGGGUUUGGACAUUUCCUCUGCCGAGUGGAGGAGUGACAGUCCUGACCCUGUAGGAGCUUGCCCAUCCUGUCCUUGAAGUAUGGCUGACAGUAUGGUUGUUCCUGUGGGGGGGGUUGCCGAGCCCUAUUGGAGUCAUGGGGGUCGGACCGGUGAUGACGCAAUCUGUCAUGUUAACAGUGGGAAAGGAUAGCAAAUAGUGAUGCUGGUUAACCUCUCCUAUUCCCCUUUUACUGUGAGGCGGUACACCAUAGUAAAAGAGGUAAGGUUGCAUAGUGAAAGAGGUAGGGCUACAGUGACCAGGGUGGUUGGAAUAGUCACCACCAUACCCUGCUGCGAUAUGGG
rnacentral:lncRNA from 1 species